UACGUAGGUGGCAAGCGUUGUCCGGAUUUAUUGGGCGUAAAGGGCGCGCAGGCGGUUCGUUAGGUCCGAGGUGAAAUCUCCCGGCUCAACUGGGAGGAGUCUUCGGAUACCGGCGGGCUUGAGGUGAGCAGAGGUGAGCGGAAUUCUGGGUGUAGUGGUGAAAUGCGUAGAUAUCCAGAGGAACACCAGUGGCGAAGGCGGCUCACUGGGCUCCACCUGACGCUGAGGCGCGAAAGCGUGGGGAGCGAACCGG
rnacentral:rRNA from 1 species